CUGCUUCUGUUUUACAUCCACUGGAUACAUAAUCCACGGCGUCCAUGCCAAGAAGAGUGAUGUGGAAGACAUGAAUUGCAACUGUGCUGUUGACAAAAAAGAAAGCGAAUUGAGAGGAGAUAGGUUAAAGAAAUUUCGGUGUCAUAAAAACGGCAAUUAUAAGAAAAUUCAUGUCAAAAACUCAAUUGUUACUGCGUAAAUAUAUGGGGAAUUCAGGUAUCACUUAAAGUGCUUAGGUCAAAGAUCUAUUCACUUCCAUGCUAAGAUGAAAUGAGCUUAUUCUUAUCCAGUAUCUCCUUUUCAAGAAAGUGAUCACCAUAUUUGUCUCAGAG